rnacentral:rRNA from 1 species
UACGAAGGGGGCUAGCGUUGCUCGGAAUUACUGGGCGUAAAGCGCACGUAGGCGGCUUUCUAAGUCAGGGGUGAAAUCCUGGAGCUCAACUCCAGAACUGCCUUUGAUACUGGCAACCUAGAGACUGGAAGAGGUUAGUGGAAUUCCCAGUGUAGAGGUGAAAUUCGUAGAUAUUGGGAAGAACACCAGUGGCGAAGGCGGCUAACUGGUCCAGCACUGACGCUGAGGUGCGAAAGCGUGGGGAGCAAACAGGAUUGAG